UACAGAGGGGGCAAGCGUUGUUCGGAAUUACUGGGCGUAAAGGGCGCGUAGGCGGCCUGCUAAGUCGAACGUGAAAUCCCUGGGCUCAACCCAGGAACUGCGUCCGAUACUGGUUGGCUUGAAUCCGGGAGAGGGACGUGGAAUUCCAGGUGUAGCGGUGAAAUGCGCAGAUAUCAGGAGGAACACCGGUGGCGAAGGCGGGUCUCUGGGCCGAUACUGACGC
rnacentral:rRNA from 1 species